rnacentral:rRNA from 1 species
AUUGAACUCUGGCGGCAGGCCUAACACAUGCAAGUCGAACGAGUGGCGGACGUGUGAGUCAUGUCUGGGAAACUGCCUGCUGGAGGGGGAUAACUACUGGAAACGGUAGCUAAUACCGCAUACCAUCGGUUGUCCCCAGAUGGGAUGAGCUAGUGGGUGGGGUAAAGGCUCACCUAGGCGACGAUCCCUAGCUGGUCUGAGAGGAUGACAGGCCACACUGGAACUGAUAAACGGACCCGACUCCUACGGCAGGCAGCAGUGGCGAAUAGUGGACAAUGGGCGCAAGCCUGAUGCAGCCAUGCCGCGUGUAGGAAGAAGGCCUUCGGGUUGUAAAGUACUUUCAGCGGGGAGGCGUUACCCGCAGAAGAAGCACCGGCUAACUACGUGCCAGCAGCCGCGGUAAUUC